rnacentral:misc_RNA from 1 species
UGUCUGGGCCACUCGUAGUCCCACACAAGCAAGGCGCAAGCAACGCGCGGCACACUACCGGCAGGCCGAGCAGAGAGUUAACUGGAUUUCGCGCACAGGGAUAGAACAGCAGCGCUAGGAGCACCACUUCGACUGGCGCCGAUCUAGGUCCACACAUCACCAUGGCGCCCGUCGAGGCCGUAAUUUCGGGGAUCGGGGGAGCAUUCCCACAGAGUGAAGGCCUGCAAAACUUUAUCGACAACCUGCUCGAUGGAAAGAACCUUUCUUCAGUCGACGACCUUCGCUGGAAACCGGGUCUGCUGGGAACCUCUCCUCACGUCGGCAAGAUCGCCAAUACGCAUCGCUUCGACAACAACCUCUUCAAAGUGCACAGGCCGCUCGCUCGCCUCAUGGACCCCAUGGCCCGUCUCAUGCUGGAGAGGUCCAUGGAGGCUGUUCUGGACGCAGGAUUGGCACCCAAAGAUAUAGAAAACACGUACACAAGUGUCUUCAUGACGACGACUGUGUCGGAGUCGGAGUCAAGGACCACCUCAAUCCUGCACGCGAAAAAGGACUCCGGGUACGCCAUCAUGGCCGGCAGCAAGACGAUGAUGUCCAACAGAAUUUCGUACUGCCUCAACCUCAACGGCCCCAGCGUCACCCUGGACGGCGACUGGACCGUGGCGAUGGUGGCGCUGCAGCGCGCUGCCCACUCCAUCGAGACCGGCGAGAGUGACUUCGCCCUGGUCGGCGCCGCCAACACCUGCUUGUUCCCGGAGCUGAACAAGAUCUACGAGAACCUGGGCGUCCUGUCCACGGACGGCCUGUGCCGCGUUCUGGACGAAAGCGCGACCGGCUGCUUCCGCUCCGAGAGCGCCGUGGUGUUCCUGCUGCAGCGCGCCGACCUGGCCAACAGGGUGUACGCCAGGGUCGGCGGCGUCAGAGAGGUGUGCCGCGGCACUCGCUCCAGGUUCCUCGGCGUCGACACGCUGGCCCUGUCGCCGCUCAUGGAGGACCUGUACCGGGAGAAGAGCGUGGACGUCAACAACGUCGCCCUGCUCACCUCCGACGGCAUUUCCAUCCCGGAGAUCGAGCGCGACGAGAUGGAGGCCUCCGCCGCGGUGCUGUGCCGCACGCGCUCGGGGCUGCCCGUGUCCGCGGCCAAGGCGGUGGCGGGGCACGGCGACGCGGUGGGCGCGCUCAUCAGCAUCAUCCACUCCAUCGCCGCCAUGGAGCGCGGCGUCAUCCCGCCCCUCAAGGACUUCACCACGCCGCACCCCGACGCGACCGCCCUCCAGGACGGCAGGGUGCAGGUGGUGAAGGAGGUGCAGCCCGUGGCGCUGGACGAGAGCUCCGUGCUGGCCGUCAACGCCCUGGGCUACUCGGGCUGCAUCGCGCACUCCAUCUUCAGGCCCAACACCAAGGUCAAGGUGCCGCCCAGCGAGGAGAGCAAGCAGUACCCCAGGCUCGUGGUGGUGUCCGGCCGAACCGAGGACGACGCCGUGAGCGUGGUCGAAAAGGUCAUCGACACGCCGUUCGACCCCGAGUUCAUCCGCCUGACCCAGCAGGCCUUCUCCAAGCCCAUCAUCGGCUACACCGCCCGCGCCAUGACCAUCCUGCCCUCGGACGAGCCCGGCAUGCGACCCCUCAUCGCCAGCAAGGAGGCUGACGCCAAAGACAGGCCGGUGUGGUUCGUGUACUCGGGCAUGGGCAGUCAGUGGGCCGGCAUGGGCAAGGGCUUGCUCAAGCUGCCCAUCUUCGCGGAGACCAUCGCGCGCCUGCAGCCCAUCCUGGAGCCCGAGGGCAUCAACCUCACCAAGACCCUCACCACCGACGACAGCAGCCACUUCGACAACAUUAUCCACGCCUUCAUCAGCAUCGCCGCCAUCCAGAUAGGGCUGACGAACGUGAUGCGUGAGCUGGGCGUGGAGCCCGACGGCAUCAUCGGGCACUCCACGGGGGAGCUGGGCUGCGCGUACGGCGACGGCUGCAUGUCCGAGGAGGAGGUGCUGAGGGCGGCGUACGCGCGCGGCAAGGCCUCGCUGGAGAAGCCUCUCAUCAGGGGCAUGAUGGCCUCCAUCGGCAUGAGCUGCGCCGAGGCCGAGGCCGUGCUGCCCCCCACCAUCGACGUGGCCUGCCACAACUCGGCCGACAACUGCACCAUCUCCGGGCCCACGGCCGACGUGGACCAGUUCGUGGAGGAGCUCAAGGAGAAGAACGUGUUCGCGCGCACCGUUAACGUGUCCAACAUCGCGUUCCACAGCAGAUACGUCCAGCCCGCCGGCCCGGUCCUCGAGAGCUACCUCCGCAAAGUCAUAAAGACACCCAAGAAGCGGUCGGCGCGCUGGGUGUCGUCCUCCAUCAACCCGGGCGACGAGAACAAGCCCGAGCUGGCGUAUGCGAGCGUCGAGUACUUCACCAACAACCUGCUGAGCCCCGUGCGCUUCGAGGACGCCAUGAAGAGCGUGCCGGCCGGGGCCGUGGUGGUGGAGCUGGCCCCGCACGGCCUCAUGCAGCCCCUCAUCCGCAGGGGGCUGCCUGAGGGCGCCGCCACCUUCUCGCUCACCCAGAGGGGCCACCGCGACGGACUCAGGUUCCUGCUGGAGAGCGUUGGGAAACUGUUCAUGGAGUGUGUGCCCGUGAAGCCUUGGGUGCUGGCUCCCGAGGUCUCCAUGCCCGUUUCGCGAGGCACGCCAAGUUUGAACACUCUCGCGUCGUGGGACCACCGAGAGGAGUGGCCACUCGUCAUCAACACCAGGAGCCAAACGACCCGGCCGCGCACCGUGCCGCUGUACCCCGAGACGACGGCGUGCAUCGCCCAGGCCGGCAAGCGCUGCGCCGCGCCCUCCACCUUCCUGGAGAUCGUCUGGAAGGAGCUGGCCGACAACAAGCCCCUCGUGUCGUGCCCCGUCAUCUUCUCCGACCUGGAGUUCAUCAACCCGGUCGAGUCGUCCGCCAAAGAGAACAUGGUGGUGGAGCUGCAGCUGCAGAGGGAGACGGGCUGGUUCGAGAUGGCACUGUCGGCCGAGGACGACAACUCCAUGCCCUGCAUCGUGAAGGGCGUGGUGCAGGCGGCCCAGCCCGAGGACCUGCUGGGCAUGGCCUCGGUGCACGCCGCCGACCUGGACGUGCCCAAGGGCACCCUCACCCUGGAAGGGGACGACAUCUACGACGAGCUCCAGGACUACGACAUCAAAUACGACGACGAGCUGAGGGUGCUGCAACGGGUCUCCUUCAAGGACAACGCCACAUCGGGCGUGUCUCGCUGGGGAGGCAGCUGGCACCGCCUCAUCGACAGCCUGUUCCAGCUGGCCAUCGUCACGGACAAGCAGGGCGACAUCUUUUGCGGCAAGAUCCGUAAGCUGACCAUCGCGCCGCAGGGGAUGCGCGCCGUGAGCAACGCGCUGCCCAUCCGCCACGACAUCGACACCGGGGUGCUGGUCGGCCCGGGCGUCAACAUCGUGGGCUACCGCCGCGCCGAGACCAAGGCCAGCACCGCCAUGUCCGUGCUCGACGUGGCCGUGCGCCCCCUCAAGACAGCGCAUCACGACACGGCCGAGUUCCUGCAGUCGGUGGCCAUGCUGCGCGUGCAGAACAGCGACACGGCCGAGGACUUCAGCGUGCUGGUGCUGGAGGAGGAGUGCGACGCCGUGGCCUCCGCGCUGCAGCAGGCCAUCCGCGAGGUGGUGGGCACCGCCACGCAGGUCCGCAAGGUGCUGCUGCGGCCCGGCGCGCCGAUCCCCAAGGAGGUGGCCGGCGCCGUCGUCCUGGUCACGGACUUCCGGUCCAAGCAGACGGCCAGGGUGAUCGAGCACCUCGAGGGCACGGCCUCCAUCAGCAGGCCCAUGGCGCUGCGCUGUGGCGUACGCACCGGUCUGGACGGCUUCGUGCAGCUCACCACCAACACCUCGGCGGACGGCUCCCUGUCGCUGCUUAUUGAGUCCCACGACAUGUCGGAGGAGGAUACUCGCGUAGUGCACGUGAAGACCGACGAGCCCGUGCCCGCAGACCUGGAGGUGCCCGUCAACGGCAAGGUGGUCCUGGUGUGGAAGGGACUGCCCAGGGAGGGCGUCCUCGGGGCCGUGGCCAGCGUACGCGGCAAACCCUACGGCGCCAGAGCACGAAUCGUCGUCAUCGCGGACAACGAUGCUCCCGAGUUCUCCUUAACCAAGGGCAUCUUCAAGGAGCGUCUCGACCUGGGCCUGAUGGUCAACGUCCUCCAGGACGGCCGCUGGAGCGAGUGCCACAUCACCAAGUUCAGCGACGUCCCACCAAUCCCGACAAGGAUUGAGGGAACCCAGGUGCACUACCUCGGACUCCACGCUGCUGACGAUUUAACGACCAUCCGCGGUCCGUUCGACUACAGCGGUCUGCGCGGCGGCGCACGCGUCAUGGGCCUGGCCCAGUCGGCCCAGGGCGUCUCCGCCGUGGCGGACGACAUCCUGCAGUGGUCGGUGCCCGCCGAGUGGAGCGACCAGGAGGCCGCCACCGUGCCCCUCGCCUACGCCAUGGCGUACCACAUGCUCAAGGUGCUGGCCAAGGCCCGCGCCGGCGAGAACGUGCUGGUGGUGGGCGGCGUGUCGCCAGUGGCACAGGCCUGCAUCCGACUGGCCUCAGCCACCGGCUGCACCGUCUUCACCACGGCGGGCAACGAGGCGCAGCGCAGGGAGGUGCUCACCCUGAACCCCCAGGUGCCCGCCGAGCGCGUCCUCCGCCACGACAGCAACGCCUUCAACUACCACAUCAUCAAGAUGGUGGGCAGCAAGGGGGUCAAUGUGGCGCUGGUGCCCUACUGCGACCACAUCCUCGAGUUGAUCUGCAGGUCCGCGUCCCUCAACACCAGGAUCGUCACGACGUCCACCAAGAACGCCCUCGCGCACCACAUCGGCCUGCACAUGUUCCUUAUCUCGACGGAACUGUUCGGGGUGAGCCCCGAGGGGCUGCUGAGGAUGACGCCGCGGGACAAGCACGCCGUGCGGGGCGCGGUGCUGGAGGGCAUCACGACGGGGGUGGUGAAGCCGCUGCGUGCGUGCAUGGUGGACUCCGUCGAGGACGUCAAGACCCCCCUGCCCGCCGCCACCAAGCAGCUGGUUUGCCUGCACGACGGCACAGCCACCAGCGCCACCGGCGUCAGCGCCCCGCGACGGCCAGGUUCGUCGCCCCCGGGCGCGGCCUUCGCCAUCCUGGGCGGCCGCGUGGACUCCCUCGUCACUCUGGCGCGCGCCGCCUCCGCCAAGGGCUCCAGCGUGGUGCUCGCGGCCCACAGGGACGUCACCACCGCCUCGGCCGCGGCGGCCCGGGCCAGGUUCGUCCCCGCCAUGCGGCAGACUACGUUCGUGCCGCUGCCCAAGGCGCACGCCGACACCAAGCAGUUCCUCAACCUCGCCUCCAAGGCCGAGGGCCUCAAGGCCAUCGUCAUCAACCUGGAGGACGCCGCGGACCGCACUCUGACGUCGCUGCUGAACGCCGCGCUGCCGUCGGUGAACGGCGCGAUGCGGGGAGUGCGGCUGCUGGUGCUGACGGACAGCCUGGCGCUGGGCACCGAGACCGUGGAGAAGUGGCGGCUCAUGGGGCUGCCCGCGUGCGCGCUCGUCGGCGACGCCCGCCAGGUCGCCAAACUCCUGCCCAGCCUGCUCACCAUCAGCGAACUUCCGACCGCCGUCGUGGCCUACCAGCAAGGCACUGACUGCCGAGUGGCGCUGGGCGCCCCGACGUACCGCUCCCUCCGCGGGGACGUGGUGGAGAAGCUGCGCGCCUGCGCUACCGCCACCACCGCCUCGAGCCGCUACCCCUGUUCGCGGUGAGCGGCCCCGGCCUCACGCCCAGCCUGCUCGCCGACACGGCGGCCGGCCUGCUGUCGCCCCUCCUCGUCGGCUGCCCCGGGGACCUCACCGCGGAGCUGCUCGCGCAGGAGAUCCUGCUGCUGCAGCCGCGCGGGCCCUGGGCGCUGUGCGGCGACGCCGAGAGCGCCGAGAUGCUGCUGAGCGCCGCCUCCCUGGUGGAGCGGAAGGCGGGCAGGCCCAACUGGCAGGAGGUGGUGCACCUCGCCC